GCUGCGGAAGAUGUUAUUAAAGGCUCUCCGCCCCUCUCUGCAAAAUCAUGAUUUUAUUCUUUCAUUUCGAUAUCUUUUGUUUCACGUUUAUACAAAUCUCUCUAUUUCGAAAGGGAGAAGGUGCUGUGAUGAUGAGACUAUAAUCUCGUUAAUCUGAUUUAACCAUGAGGAAAAACCCUCUAAUCCAUUCUUCGCUGUCUGAGCACCUUCUCUUUCUUUCCUAAUUUUUCUUCUUCAUUUUUUUCUUGGAAAUGUAGAAAUGUCCACAAGGAAGGGGAUUGGCUGACCCGAUAAGAUGUUAUCUUGAGUGGUAACUGUAGAAUUUCUUAAAGAUAGAAGUUCUAGGUUAUUGUAUGAGCAAUUCAUGAUGGGAUGGGCGUAUAGUUCCAAAAUUGUCUCCCCACAAAUCAAAGUAAUGGAUUCACAGGCAAAGGAAAUUCUUAUGGGUAGGUGUUCAUAUAAACAGUGAAAAAGAUUGAUAUAUUAUUUUAAAUACUUGGUUAACAAAUUAAUGGUGGUUCAAACGGA